UACAGAGGGGGGCAAGCGUUGUUCGGAAUUACUGGGCGUAAAAGGGCGCGUAGGCGGCCGCCUAAGUCAGACGUGAAAUCCCUCGGCUCAACCGGGGAACUGCAUCCGAUACUGGCGGGCUUGAAUCCGGGAGAGGGAUGUGGAAUUCCAGGUGUAGCGGUGAAAUGCGUAGAUAUCUGGAGGAACACCGGUGGCGAAGGCGGCAUCCUGGACCGGUAUUGACGCUGAGGCGCGAAAGCUAGGGGAGCGAACAGG
rnacentral:rRNA from 1 species